rnacentral:rRNA from 1 species
GACGAACGCUGGCGGCGUGCCUAAUACAUGCAAGUUGAGCGCUGAAGGUUGGUACUUGUACCAACUGGAUGAGCAGCGAACGGGUGAGUAACGCGUGGGGAAUCUGCCUUUGGGCGGGGGACAACAUUUGGAAACGAAUGCUAAUACCGCAUAAAAACUUUAAACACAAGUUUUAAGUUUGAAAGAUGCAAUUGCAUCACUCAAAGAUGAUCCCGCGUUGUAUUAGCUAGUUGGUGAGGUAAAGGCUCACCAAGGCGAUGAUACAUAGCCGACCUGAGAGGGUGAUCGGCCACAUUGGGACGGAGACACGGCCCAAACGCCUACGGGAGGCAGCAGUAGGGAAUCUUCGGCAAUGGACGAAAGUCUGACCGAGCAACGCCGAGUGAGUGAAGAAGGUUGUCGGAUCGUAAAACUCUGUUGGUAGAGAAGAACGUUGGUGAGAGUGGAAAGCUCAUCAAGUGACGGUAACUACCCAGAAAGGGACGGCUAACUACGUG